rnacentral:rRNA from 1 species
UACGUAGGGGGCUAGCGUUGUCCGGAUUUAUUGGGCGUAAAGAGCGUGUAGGCGGCUCGAUAAGUCUGCUGUGAAAGUCCAGGGCUCAACCCUGGAAGGCCGGUGGAAACUGUCGGGCUAGAGUCCGGAAGAGGCGAGUGGAAUUCCCGGUGUAGCGGUGAAAUGCGCAGAUAUCGGGAGGAACACCAAUGGCGAAGGCAGCUCGCUGGGACGGUACUGACGCUGAGACGCGAAAGCGUGGGGAGCAAACAGG